CUGCAGGCAACGGAUUGGCUGCUGCCCAACAAAUAUAAAUGGCACAGUACAGCUCAACGUCUGCAGAGAUCAAUUGCGGCAAUUUCGUGAACUGAACGAGUUUAUACCCAGAAAUGUUUGGUCUUUACAAUUGCACACAAU
rnacentral:snoRNA from 1 species